rnacentral:rRNA from 1 species
GACGGAGGGGGCUAGCGUUGUUCGGAAUUACUGGGCGUAAAGCGUGCGUAGGCGGCCAUUCAAGUUGGGUGUGAAAGCCCGGGGCUCAACCCCGGAAAUGCGCCCAAGACUGUUUGGCUAGAGUCCGGGAGAGGUGAGUGGAACUCCGAGUGUAGAGGUGAAAUUCGUAGAUAUUCGGAAGAACACCAGUGGCGAAGGCGGCUCACUGGACCGGUACUGACGCUGAGGCACGAAAGCGUGGGGAGCAAACAGGAUUAGAUCCCCUGGUAGCCCACGCCGUAAACUAUGAGAGCUAGACGUUGGGGGGCUUGCCCUCCUGUGUCGCAGCUAACGCGUGAAGCUCCCCGCCUGGGGAGUACGGCCGCAAGGUUA